GGGACUGAGAAGGACCCAUACUAUUAUGAAAUAAUCACAGAAGAGCCCCCUGUAGAUCCACCUGAGGACAGAGUCGCUGUUUAUGUGGUGGUGGGCAUCGCAGCUGUAGCCUUCACUGGUUUCCUUCUCAUGCUGGUUAUUCUCAAGUUCGGAGGAAACUCCAAGUUUGGCA